UCCCUUCUUCCUUCGAUGGCGGCUCUUCAUGGCGGCGGCGGAGGGGGCGGAGGGGGGGUCUCGGGGGGCGGCGGAGGGGGGGUCUCCGGGGUCUCAGGCCCUCCCCCGAAGGCCGGAGCCCCCCCGCAGAUACCGGACACACGCAGGGAGCUGGCCGAACUGGUCAAGAGGAAGCAGGAGCUGGCGGAGACUCUGGCCAAUUUGGAACGCCAAAUCUAUGCCUUCGAGGGCAGCUACCUGGAGGACACCCAGAUGUACGGAAACAUCAUCCGCGGCUGGGACCGCUACCUCACCAACCAGAAGAACUCCAACAGCAAGAACGACCGGCGGAACCGCAAGUUCAAGGAAGCUGAGCGCCUCUUCAGCAAGUCCUCCGUCACCUCGGCCGCCGCAGUCAGCGCAUUGGCUGGAGUGCAGGACCAGCUCAUUGAGAAACGGGAGCCUGGCAGCGGGACGGAGAGCGACACGUCUCCGGACUUCCACAACCAGGAAAACGAGCCGAGUCAAGAGGAGGCCGAAGAACUGGACAGCGCUGUCCAGGGAGUGAAGCCCCAGAAGGCCGCCUCUUCUGCCUCGGGCAGCCACCACAGCAGCCACAAGAAGCGGAAGAACAAAAACCGACACAGCCCGUCUGGCAUGUUUGAUUAUGACUUUGAGUAUGUAUAUUAGGUUAGGCUGGCAAGGUUUUUAAAAUAAGGACAAAAGCACGAUGGAGGAUUGAUCUCAAGCUGAACAAAAAACCCCGAGCUGACUACUAGCCCUUCCAUGCUGGACCGUCCCUUCUCCUGACCGACCUUCCUUCCGCCUGCCCUGGUCGGCCUCAAGAGACUGAAUAAGCACAACGCUCCUUCCUAGAUCCUGCGCUGCCUCCUCCUCCUCCUCCGUUCUGUGUGGCCCGAAUCCGAGGGCGGCUGCCUCUUCUUAUUCCUGAUCAAUCUCCUUUGGGGAAGAGAGCCUUCUUCUGACCGGCCAGUCUUCGUCCUGACUAUUUCUGAGCGUGUCCAGUAGCCAUGGCAAGAUGCUCCCUUCCAUGUUUCCUUCUGCUUCUCCGACACCUCUGGUUGAAUUCUCCCCCCUCCCUUCUUGUAUCUUCAUUUUUUAAAAAUAAACCUUGAUAUUUAAUUUUCCAUUUUUUUAACAAGUGAGAUGAAAUGUGCAGCCUGUUUGUCCGUUAGAACCUUUUUCUUCUCUGGAGCCUGAACUUGGUGAGCCAUUUCCAAAAGAAAGAAAAGAGGUGUGUGUGUGUUUGAGGGGGGGGGGUUGCAUUGUGCCGCUCUCCUGGAGCAUCUGCUGCCAAGAUGGGCAAAAGAGACCUGGUGGAGGGGGUGGCGGUGGGCAGGGCAGAGACUCCGUUUUCCUAUUCGUGCCUGCUAUUUGUAAAUAAAAAUGAUAUAAAAUUUC